AGUGAACGCUGGUGGUAGGCCUAACACAUGCAAGUCGAACGGCAGCACAGGAGAGCUUGCUCUCUGGGUGGCGAGUGGCGGACGGGUGAGGAAUACAUCGGAAUCUACUUUUUCGUGGGGGAUAACGUAGGGAAACUUACGCUAAUACCGCAUACGACCUACGGGUGAAAGCAGGGGAUCUUCGGACCUUGCGCGAUUGAAUGAGCCGAUGUCGGAUUAGCUAGUUGGCGGGGUAAAGGCCCACCAAGGCGACGAUCCGUAGCUGGUCUGAGAGGAUGAUCAGCCACACUGGAACUGAGACACGGUCCAGACUCCUACGGGAGGCAGCAGUGGGGAAGAUUGGACAAUGGGCGCAAGCCUGAUCCAGCCAUACCGCGUGGGUGAAGAAGGCCUUCGGGUUGUAAAGCCCUUUUGUUGGGAAAGAAAUCCAGCUGGCUAAUACCCGGUUGGGAUGACGGUACCCAAAGAAUAAGCACCGGCUAACUUCGUGCCAGCAGCCGCCGUAA
rnacentral:rRNA from 1 species